rnacentral:rRNA from 1 species
GACGAACGCUGGCGGCGUGCCUAAUACAUGCAAGUAGAACGCACAGUUUAUACCGUAGCUUGCUACACCAUAGACUGUGAGUUGCGAAUGGGUGAGUAACGCGUAGGUAACCUGCCUGGUAGCGGGGGAUAACUAUUGGAAACGAUAGCUAAUACCGCAUAAUAUUAAUUAUUGCAUGAUAAUUAAUUGAAAGGUUCAAUUUCACCACUACCAGAUGGACCUGCUUUGUAUUAGCUAGUAGGUGAGGUAACGGCUCACCUAGGCGACGAUACAUAGCCGACCUGAGAGGGUGAUCGGCCACACUGGGAACGGGACACGGCCCAGAAUCCUACGGGAGGCAGCAGUAGGGAAUCUUCGGCAAUGGACGAAAGUCUGACCGAGCAACGCCGCGUUAGUGAAGAAGGUUCUCGGAUCGUAAAGCUCUGUUGUAAGAGAAGAACGGGUGUGAGAGUGGAAAGUUCACACUGUGACGGUAUCUUACCAGAAAGGGACGGCUAACUACGUG